rnacentral:rRNA from 1 species
GUGUCAGCCGCCGCGGUAAUACAGAGACCUCAAGCGUUAUCCGGAUUUAUUGGGCGUAAAGCGUCCGCAGGUGGUUUAUUAAGUCAUAGGUCAAAUCCCGGGGCUCAACCCCGUAACUGCCCAUGAUACUGAUGAACUCGAGGCCAGUAGAGGCAAGCGGAAUUACAGGUGUAGCGGUAAAAUGCGUUUAUAUCUGUAAGAACACCAAAGGCGAAAGCAGCUUGCUGGAAUGGUCCUGACACUCAUGGACGAAAGCGUGGGGAGCGAAAAGGAUUAGAUACCCUCGUAGUCC